UACGAAGGGGGCUAGCGUUGCUCGGUAUCACUGGGCGUAAAGGGUGCGUAGGCGGGUUUUUAAGUCAGGGGUGAAAUCCUGGAGCUCAACUCCAGAACUGCCUUUGAUACUGAAGAUCUUGAGUCCGGAAGAGGUGAGUGGAACUGCGAGUGUAGAGGUGAAAUUCGUAGAUAUUAGGAAGAACACCAGUGGCGAAGGCGGCUCACUGGCCCGGUACUGACGCUGAGGCGCGAAAGCGUGGGGAGCAAACAGG
rnacentral:rRNA from 1 species